GCAUCUGUGCAUGCAGCAUAUCAAUAAGCGGAGGAAAAGAAACUAACAAGGAUUCCCCUAGUAACGGCGAGUGAAGCGGGAAGAGCUCAAAUUUGAAAUCUUAAAGGGUUUCCCUUACGAAUUGUAGUUUAAAGAAGUGUUUUCUGUUGAGGUUUUGGUAAAAGUUCUUUGGAAUAGGACAUCAUAGAGGGUGAGAAUCCCGUAUUUGACCUUUACUUUCAACUUUGUGAUACACUUUCAAAGAGUCGGAUUGUUUGGGAAUGCAGUCCAAAAUGGGUGGUAAAUUUCAUCUAAAGCUAAAUAUUGGCGAGAGACCGAUAGCGAACAAGUACCGUGAGGGAAAGAUGAAAAGAACUUUGAAAAGAGAGUUAAACAGUACGUGAAAUUGUCAAAAGGGAAGCGUUUGACACCAGUGUUGUUUUUCUGAAAAUCAAUUAAAGAACUGUUUAUGCUAAGUUGUUUAGACUUUAUCAGCUAACUGUUUAGUUUUGAGCUUUUCUUUAAUGCACUUUUCAGUUAACAAGUCAACAUCAAUUUCUUUUGCUGUAAAAAAGCUUGAGGAAGGUGGCUUGAGAUUCGUCUUAAGUGUUUAUAGCCUCUUGCCUAUGCAGUCGGAGAGAUUGAGGUCUGCAGCGUAGAUCCUUCGGGGCUAAAUGCAUUUGUGCUAAGUUAUAGCAUUUUAUAGACAACUUGUUGACUAUGAUUUGUCUUGUAGCUUACUCGCUUAUGUUAUUUUACCUACGCUUAGGAUGUUGAGCGCAUGUCUCUCUCU
rnacentral:rRNA from 1 species